UACAUAGGGGAGCUAGCGUUAUUCGGAAUUACUGGGCGUAAAGCGCGCGUAGGCGGUUUUUUAAGUCAGAGGUGAAAGCCUGGAGCUCAACUCCAGAACUGCCUUUGAAACUGGAAAACUUGAAUCUUGGAGAGGUCAGUGGAAUUCCGAGUGUAGAGGUGAAAUUCGUAGAUAUUCGGAAGAACACCAGUGGCGAAGGCGGCUCACUGGCUCGAUACUGACGCUGAGGUGCGAAAGCGUGGGGAGCAAACAGG
rnacentral:rRNA from 1 species